rnacentral:rRNA from 1 species
CCUACGGGAGGCAGCAGUGAGGAAUAUUGGUCAAUGGACGAGAGUCUGAACCAGCCAAGUAGCGUGAAGGAUGACUGCCCUAUGGGUUGUAAACUUCUUUUAUAUGGGAAUAAAAUGUUCCACGUGUGGGAUUUUGUAUGUACCAUAUGAAUAAGGAUCGGCUAACUCCGUGCCAGCAGCCGCGGUAAUACGGAGGAUCCGAGCGUUAUCCGGAUUUAUUGGGGUUAAAGGGAGCGUAGGUGGAUUGUUAAGUCAGUUGUGAAAGUUUGCGGCUCAACCGUAAAAUUGCAGUUGAAACUGGCAGUCUUGAGUACAGUAGAGGUGGGCGGAAUUCGUGGUGUAGCGGUGAAAUGCUUAGAUAUCACGAAGAACUCCGAUUGCGAAGGCAGUUCACUGGACUGCAACUGACACUGAGGCUCGAAGGUGUGGGUAUCAAACAGGAUUAGAUACCCGAGUAGUC